UACGAAGGGGGCUAGCGUUGUUCGGAAUUACUGGGCGUAAAGGGUUUGUAGGCGGUUAUGUAAGCUAGUGGUGAAAGCCUGGGGGCUCAACCUCAGAAUUGCCAUUAGAACUGCAUAGCUAGAGAGUGUUAGAGGAAAGUGGAAUUCCUAGUGUAGGAGUGAAAUCCGUAGAGAUUAGGAGGAAUAUCGAUGGCGAAGGCAGCUUUCUGGGACAUUUCUGACGCUGAGAAACGAAAAGCGUGGGUAGCAAACAGG
rnacentral:rRNA from 1 species